rnacentral:rRNA from 1 species
GAUGAACGCUGGCGGCGUGCUUAACACAUGCAAGUCGAACGGAAAGGCCCAAGCUUGCUUGGGUACUCGAGUGGCGAACGGGUGAGUAACACGUGGGUGAUCUGCCCUGCACUUCGGGAUAAGCCUGGGAAACUGGGUCUAAUACCGGAUAGGACCACAUUUUGGAUGGUGUGGUGGAAAGUUUUUCGGUGUGGGAUGAGCUCGCGGCCUAUCAGCUUGUUGGUGGGGUAAUGGCCUACCAAGGCGUCGACGGGUAGCCGGCCUGAGAGGGUGUACGGCCAAAUUGGGACUGGGAUACGGCCCAGACGCCUACGGGGGGCAGCAGUGGGGAAUAUUGCACAAUGGGCGCAAGCCUGAUGCAGCGACGCCGCGUGGGGGAUGACGGCCUUCGGGUUGUAAACUCCUUUCGCUAGGGACGAAGCGUUAUGUGACGGUACCUGGAGAAGAAGCACCGGCUAACUACGUG